UAAUCCGUGUAAUCUGACAAAUCCUUAUGUAGCUAUAACAGAUUCACAUGUAACUGCUCAUAAUAAUCAUUAUUGCAAGUACGACUAUAUUAUUUUACUUUGAUGAAUUAAGACCUUGCAUUGUGAUGGAUGGUCCUAUUGAUU
rfam:Populus trichocarpa scaffold_13_contig_29, whole genome shotgun sequence.